CGGGGUAUGGCGCAGCCUGGUAGCGCGACAGUUUUGGGUACUGUAGGUCGUAGGUUCGAAUCCUGCUGCCCCGACCA
rnacentral:tRNA from 2 species